UUGUUUCAGUGUUCUGUUGAGUAUGAAGUUAACUAUGUAUUUCUUAUUAUGUUUCAGGUGAAUUAAGAUGGGACGUGCAAAGCAGACUAAACAUGGAAGGAGACAAUCAAAGAAGUCAAAAAAGGCAGAUGAUGACGAAGUUGAGUUCGUUUGUACUAUCCAAACACAUGAAGAAGAACAUGAAGAGGAACGUGGGCAGCGACAGGAACAGGAAGAGGAACAUGUGGAGGAACGAGAACCGGAAGAGGAACAUGAGGAGGAGCAACAACAGGAAGAGGAGCGUCAACCAGAGCAACAUAAUGACGACGAGCCUGAAGGUGAGAUAGAACAUACUCAGGAGGCUGAAGGUGGAACCUCCCGUAAGAGAAAGCGUGGUCCAACAAUGAUGAGAGACCUAGCCAAAGAUCCAAAUACCAGAGUUCAUGUCGAUUUCACUUUUAUGGGAGAAGCUUAUGGUCCUGGUUCAGUCAAGCUAUCUUCAUAUUUGGGUCCGUUGGUAAGGGAGCACGUGCCUGUUACAGUUGAAAAUUGGAAAAAAAUUACUGAAGAAGUGAAGACAGUGCUUUGGAAAUCAGUCCAGGCAAGGUUUGAACUUGAUGAGGACCACCAAAGGGUUGCAGUUCUUAAGCAGAUGGGAGCCUUGUGGAGAUCAUCCAAGUCACGUCUUGUUACCCAAAUCAAUGAAGCUGAAAAUAACCAACAAAGGAUGAAUCUCAGACCUAAGAAUGUUCAUCCAAUUGAGUGGCGCAAAUUUGUGAAGCUAAAAACAAGCCAAGAAUUCAAGGUUCUGAGUGAUAGCUACAAAGAGAGGAGAAGCAAACAGAUUCCUCACACUUGUAGUAGAAAGGGAAUGGUUAGACUAGCAGAAGAGAUGAAAAAUAGUUCUGAAGACAAAUCUGAAGUGUCGAGACUUAAAGUCUGGGUGAGGUCACGUACAAGAAAAGAUGGAACUCCCAUCAACACAAAUGCUACUGAGAAGAUUGUAAGUUUAUAACAUAAUCUGUUCCUCCUAUUAAUCAUGGUCGGUAGAUAGAUAUGCUUAUAACUUUUUCUGUUAAUUGUAAUGUGGUAUACAGCAAAAGGCAGCUGAAAUUGUUAAGGGUGGUAGUCAGAGUGGAAAAAAUCUGGAUGAAGAUACGCUCAUCCAGGUCUUAGGACCUGAUAAUCCUGGUCGUAUGAGAGCAAUGGGGAGGAAUAUUAGUAAGACGAAAUUAGCUUGCUUCAAUGUCAACCAGAAGUCAAUUUCUGAAAUGCAACAUACACAAAUUCAUCUCAUGCAAAAGGUUAAUGAGCUACAGUCUGAACUUGCGAAAGUAAAAAACCAGGUUAGUUACAUCUCCAAGAAUACAUAAAGAUAAGUGCUUAUCACAUAAUAAUAAGCUUUGUGUUGGGUUUAUGUUACAGAGAGAUGACAAUGAAGUGGGGGAAAACUCGGCUGCAAGAGUAAGCAAUUUAUAUGAGAUCAAUGGCAUUUUUUUCUACUUUACACUACUCUUAUACUUUAACAACUAACAUUUAACAGAGUGUGAACAAGAUACCACAAAAGAAGUGUCUUCUCAUUGACUGGGCUGAUGAAGAUGGAAACGUUGCUGAGGGUCGUAUCAUUUCUUCUGACCCUGAAGACAUAGUGAAUGACAGUCGAUUAGGUCCUAAUGAUGUUAAAGUCUUGGUUGAUGAAGCUACUGAACCUGAAGCAUUCCUCUGGAGACCUGCGACUAACAUGUGCACAAUUAAGGAAGCUGUUGGUCAUAUUAUUGCAUGGCCGAAGAAAAAAUGCGUGGAACUAGGUCUGGGGCUUGAACAUGAAGACAUUGCACCACUGGGCUCAAGAGCAAAUUCUCUCAACAAAUGCAAACUUCUGGAUUUGUGUGAUGAUAGUGUAGUUGUUGGCCAUUUUUCUUUUUGACCACGACGGGAUUCGCG